rnacentral:misc_RNA from 1 species
UCGAAACCUGGUCUCGAUAC